rnacentral:tRNA from 1 species
GAGUCAUUAGCUCAGUUGGUAGAGCAUCUGACUUUUAAUCAGAGGGUCGGAGGUUCGAAUCCUCCAUGACUCACCA